GACGAACGCUGGCGGCGUGCUUAACACAUGCAAGUCGAACGGAAAGGCCCUGCUUUUGUGGGGUGCUCGAGUGGCGAACGGGUGAGUAACACGUGAGUAACCUGCCCUUGACUUUGGGAUAACUUCAGGAAACUGGGGCUAAUACCGGAUAGGAGCUCCUGCUGCAUGGUGGGGGUUGGAAAGUUUCGGCGGUUGGGGAUGGACUCGCGGCUUAUCAGCUUGUUGGUGGGGUAGUGGCUUACCAAGGCUUUGACGGGUAGCCGGCCUGCGAGGGUGACCGGCCACAUUGGGACUGAGAUGCGGCCCAGACUCCUACGGGAGGCAGCAGUGGGGAAUAUUGCACAAUGGGCGGAAGCCUGAUGCAGCAACGCCGCGUGCGGGAUGACGGCCUUCGGGUUGUAAACCGCUGUCGCCUGUGACGAAGCGUGAGUGACGGUAAUGGGUAAAGAAGCACCGGCUAACUACGUG
rnacentral:rRNA from 1 species